rfam:Gorilla gorilla gorilla genomic chromosome, chr16, whole genome shotgun sequence
GCUGGGUGUGAUGGCUCACACCUGUAAUCCUAGCACUUUGGGAGGCCGAGGUGGGAGAAUUGCUUGAGCCCAGGUGUUCCGGACCAGCCUGGGCAAUAUAGCAAGACCCUAUCUCUU